UAAAAGCAUCAAAAUAAAUUAUAA
rnacentral:piRNA from 1 species